UUAUGAACCAGGGUAUUGCCUCCAACCAAGCCUUAACAAUCUCAUCCUCCCUUUAGCCUUCCAUGAUUAGACCUCAACUCAUGAGAACUCUUGCCUUGCUCACAAGUGGGAGUAAAUGCUCAUAGCUCUAGAAAUCUCCCAGGAACCAGACAUCACGGAAACUAGAAAGGCUAAGGGAGUCCAAUCUUCCUCUAAAUUGGCCAACAGUAGAGUGGUGGAAAGAGAACAAGCUGCAAACCAGACAGACCCAAGCUUGAAUCUCACCUCUGCCAAGCUACCAGGGACCUACCCCGAACUUUCAUGAACCCCUGGUAGCUGAAUAGCAGCUUGUCUAAGCGAGGUGCAGGGAUUUUGUCAAAGUCGGCCUCGGUGUUAAAGGCAGGGCCACCUACCAUGAACUUCUCUCUGUGACUUUAUUCUUUAGCAGUGCUCAAGUGUAAAUAAACUUGUUUACCAGGAUCAGAAUGGCCAUGUUAAUGAAGUCUUAUUUGUGUCACCACAAUGACAAGUAAUUUGUGCACAGCUGGACUCGGAGAGGGGACAAAACCAGAGAAAUUGUAUUUCUGUUCUGAAGUUUCCAUACAGAUGCCUUAGGCCAAAGUUAGUACAGCCAAUAUUUGCCUGUUUCUUUGGAUUGUGUGUCCAUGCUGGAGAAAAGCCUUGUUACUGUGCCCAGUGUGGUAAACGAAAUUAUAUGUACGCAGUGAGAAGAAAAAUGAAAUAAGAAGCACUGAUGAAUGUACCCACGGGUGUGACCUUGGGGGCCAGUGUGUGGUUUUUAUGAAAUGAACGCAUGAAUACGAGGACCCUAAUUAUUGCUUUCAACGGACAAAGUAUGGUGAAUAUAUAGAGAACGUUGCUGUACAACACUGGCUGUGUCUCAAAGCGGCUUUAGAAGUAAAUAUAGAAAUUCUUUGGUACAUGGUAUUGCAUAGAAAAGUCAUUAAGAAAAAAGCAAGACAAUUUGUUAAGACCUUGUUAAGUGGAGCUGGGGGAUGAUUAAUUUUGUUUGUUUGUUUUUGUUGUUCCCUGGUAGAGCUCAACAAACUACAGACCACGGGCCAAAUCUG
rnacentral:lncRNA from 1 species